rnacentral:rRNA from 1 species
AACGAACGCUGGCGGCAGGCUUAACACAUGCAAGUCGAACGCACCUUUCGGGGUGAGUGGCAGACGGGUGAGUAACGCGUGGGAAUCUACCCUUCUCUACGGGAUAGCUCCGGGAAACUGGAAUUAAUACCGUAUACGUCCUGAGGGAGAAAGAUUUAUCGGGGAAGGAUGAGCCCGCGUUGGAUUAGCUAGUUGGUGGGGUAAAGGCCUACCAAGGCGACGAUCCAUAGCUGGUCUAAGAGGAUGAUCAGCCACAUUGGGACUGAGACACGGCCCAAACUCCUACGGGAGGCGGCAGUGGGGAAUAUUGGACAAUGGGCGCAAGCCUGAUACAGCCAUGCCGCGUGAGUGAUGAAGGCCCUAGGGUUGUAAAGCUCUUUCAGUGGGGACGAUAAUGACGGUACCCACAGAAGAAGCCCCGGCUAACUUCGUG